GGUUAAGCGACUAAGCGUACACGGUGGAUGCCCUGGCAGUCAGAGGCGAUGAAGGACGUGCUAAUCUGCGAUAAGCGUCGGUAAGGUGAUAUGAACCGUUAUAACCGGCGAUUUCCGAAUGGGGAAACCCAGUGUGAUUCGUCACACUAUCAUUAACUGAAUCCAUAGGUUAAUGAGGCGAACCGGGGGAACUGAAACAUCUAAGUACCCCGAGGAAAAGAAAUCAACCGAGAUUCCCCCAGUAGCGGCGAGCGAACGGGGAGCAGCCCAGAGCCUGAAUCAGUGUGAGUGUUAGUGGAAGCGUCUGGAAAGGCGUGCGAUACAGGGUGACAGCCCCGUACACAAAAAUGCACAUGCUGUGAGCUCGAUGAGUAGGGCGGGACACGUGGUAUCCUGUCUGAAUAUGGGGGGACCAUCCUCCAAGGCUAAAUACUCCUGACUGACCGAUAGUGAACCAGUACCGUGAGGGAAAGGCGAAAAGAACCCCGGCGAGGGGAGUGAAAAAGAACCUGAAACCGUGUACGUACAAGCAGUGGGAGCACAGAGCAAUCUGUGUGACUGCGUACCUUUUGUAUAAUGGGUCAGCGACUUAUAUUCUGUAGCAAGGUUAACCGAAUAGGGGAGCCGAAGGGAAACCGAGUCUUAACUGGGCGUUAAGUUGCAGGGUAUAGACCCGAAACCCGGUGAUCUAGCCAUGGGCAGGUUGAAGGUUGGGUAACACUAACUGGAGGACCGAACCGACUAAUGUUGAAAAAUUAGCGGAUGACUUGUGGCUGGGGGUGAAAGGCCAAUCAAACCGGGAGAUAGCUGGUUCUCCCCGAAAGCUAUUUAGGUAGCGCCUCGUGAAUUCAUCUCCGGGGGUAGAGCACUGUUUCGGCAAGGGGGUCAUCCCGACUUACCAACCCGAUGCAAACUGCGAAUACCGGAGAAUGUUAUCACGGGAGACACACGGCGGGUGCUAACGUCCGUCGUGAAGAGGGAAACAACCCAGACCGCCAGCUAAGGUCCCAAAGUCAUGGUUAAGUGGGAAACGAUGUGGGAAGGCCCAGACAGCCAGGAUGUUGGCUUAGAAGCAGCCAUCAUUUAAAGAAAGCGUAAUAGCUCACUGGUCGAGUCGGCCUGCGCGGAAGAUGUAACGGGGCUAAACCAUGCACCGAAGCUGCGGCAGCGACGCUUAUGCGUUGUUGGGUA
rnacentral:rRNA from 1 species